GGCUUUAUAGUCAAAUUAUGAUAUUAGACUGCAAUUCUAAAGUUAGGAUUAAGUCCUUAAAGCUU
rnacentral:tRNA from 1 species